GAUGAACGCUGGCGGCGUGCCUAAUACAUGCAAGUCGAGCGAACGGACGAGAAGCUUGCUUCUCUGAUGUUAGCGGCGGACGGGUGAGUAACACGUGGAUAACCUACCUAUAAGACUGGGAUAACUUCGGGAAACCGGAGCUAAUACCGGAUAAUAUUUUGAACCGCAUGGUUCAAAAGUGAAAGACGGUCUUGCUGUCACUUAUAGAUGGAUCCGCGCUGCAUUAGCUAGUUGGUAAGGUAACGGCUUGCCAAGGCAACGAUGCAUAGCCGACCUGAGAGGGGGAUCGGCCACACUGGAACUGAGCCACGGUCCAGACUCCUACGGGAGGCAGCAGUAGGGACUCUUCCGCAAUGGGCGAAAGCCUGACGGAGCAACGCCGCGUGAGUGAUGAAGGUCUUCGGAUCGUAAAACUCUGUUAUUAGGGAAGAACAUAUGUGUAAGUAACUGUGCACAUCUUGACGGUACCUAAUCAGAAAGCCACGGCUAACUACGUG
rnacentral:rRNA from 1 species